UGAGGAAUAUUGCGCAAUGGGCGAAAGCCUGACGCAGCGACGCCGCGUGGAGGACGAAGGCCCUCGGGUCGUAAACUCCUGUCAAGAGAGACGAAUGCCGCAGGGAUGAAUAAGCCUUGUGGUUGACGGUACCUUUGAAGGAAGCCCCGGCUAACUCCGUGCCAGCAGCCGCGGUAAUACGGAGGGGGCAAGCGUUGUUCGGAAUUAUUGGGCGUAAAGGGCGCGUAGGCGGCCUGGUAAGUCAGACGUGAAAUCCCUCGGCUCAACCGAGGAACUGCGUUUGAAACUGCCGGGCUUGAGUCCCGGAGAGGGUAGUGGAAUUCCCAGUGUAGCGGUGAAAUGCGUAGAUAUCAAGAGGAACACCUGAGGUGAAGACGGGUUGCUGGGCUGACACUGACGCUGAGGCGCGAAAGCCAGGGGAGCAAACGGGAUUAGAUACCCCAGUAGUCCCUGAGCGGGCUGGCAAGGCGCAU
rnacentral:rRNA from 1 species